GGUCCUCUUCUAGGAUUGGUUGUCCACUCAUAACCAUAAGAUAAUUAAAACGGGGGGGGCGGCAGGGUUAAAAAAAAACCUUUUUUAUCAGCCAUAGGUUAAUGCAAGUGUUUAACAGAUGCUUCACUAUUAAAACCCCCCCCCCCCCAAUAUUGAAGAAUCUCAAACCAGCUACCCCAAACACAGACUUUGGAGGUUUUCAAAGUGGGGCACCUCGAUUUCUCGAAUCUGUGGUGUGGCGAGUACCCGUGUUCCGCUGGUUUAACUAGCCUGUUUGAAGGCAUAGCCGAUUCUUCAGCAAGAACAACGAAACCAGCCUUCUUCACCUCCUGGGGGAUUUUCUUUUGCCCUCUACAGCGGAGUGUGACUUCAGACAGAAACUUCAGAUUGGCCAAGGCAGGUCUGUCUGAUUCUAUUCUAAAGACCAAGUUGGAGAUGAGCUGUCAUUGGUGUUGACUGAGUCCAUACAGUCGGUUGUCGUGCUACUCAGGGAAAGACAAGAUGCUAACCUCUCAUCACAGGACUUCUGCUUUGCAUACAACUUUAAGAUGAAACAGCAGAUUGAACUAUACCUUAGAAGAUGAAAUGAGAUUGUGUUAGACCCUACUGCCAUAAUCUAUUUCUAAAGUUUUUUUUUUUAGUCUCAUCUCUUUCUGACUUAUUAAAUUUCCUUCUUUUAUUCUAUUUUGAAUCUGUAUUUCCAUGUUGUAUUGAUUCAGUGGGAGAGAGUCCUUGUUGCCAAGUCUGAUGACUCCGGAACCUGCAUGAUACAAAGAGAGCUGAUGACAGAAAGUUGCCCUCAGAUCUUCACAUAUCACUGUGGUAUGUGUUGCAGGCACCUAUCCAGUCCUGCACACAAUGUAUUAAAACUAUU